rnacentral:rRNA from 1 species
CCUACGGGAGGCAGCAGUGAGGAAUAUUGGUCAAUGCGCGGGAGCCUGAACCAGCCAAGUCGCGUGAGUGAAGACGGUCCUAUGUAUUGUAAACCUCUUUAGGCGGGGAGCAAUGCCGGGCACGUGUGCCCGUAGUGAGAGUACCCGCAGAAUAAGCAUCGGCUAACUCCGUGCCAGCAGCCGCGGUAAUACGGAGGAUGCGAGCGUUAUCAGAAUUUAUUGGGUUAAAAGGGUGCGUAGGCGGAGUUUUAAGUCAGCGGUAAAAUGUCCGGGCUCAACCCGGGCGGGCCGUUGAAACUGGGGAUCUUGACGGGGCGAGAAGUAUGCGGAAUGCGUGGUGUAGCGGUGAAAUGCAUAGAUAUCACGAAGAACUCCGAUUGCGAAGGCAGCAUACCGGCGCCCGACUGACGCUGAGGCACGAAAGCGUGGGGAUCGAACAGGAUUAGAUACCCGGGUAGUC